rnacentral:tRNA from 1 species
GCAGUGGGGGUUCAGCGGUAGAAUUCUCAACUUCCAUAUGGGAGACCCGGGUUCAAUUCCUGGCCAAGUCA